GUUGCUGUUGUAAAUAAUCAACUUUACUCCGCUGAUCAAGCAACAAAUGAGGUAAAGAAAUAUGACAAGAUCAAUAAUUCAUGGAGUGUGGUGAAGCAGUUGCCAGUGAGAGCUGACUCUUCUCAUGGUUGGGGAUUAGCAUUUAAAGCAUGUGGUAACAGCUUAUUAGUGAUUGGAGGGCAUAGAGGUCCUGAAGGUGAAGUUAUUGUGUUGCAUUCUUGGGAUCCGCAGGAUAGAAGUAUGGACGGGCCACAAUGGAAUGUUCUUGCUGUCAAAGAGCAAGCCGGUGCUUUUGUGUACAACUGUGCAGUAAUGGGAUGCUAAUGUUUGGGCACAUACUUGUCUUUGGUGCAAACUUU
rnacentral:misc_RNA from 1 species